rnacentral:rRNA from 1 species
GACGAACGCUGGCGGCGUGCUUAACACAUGCAAGUCGAACGGAAAGGCCCUGCUUUUGUGGGGUGCUCGAGUGGCGAACGGGUGAGUAACACGUGAGUAACCUGCCCUUGACUUUGGGAUAACUUCAGGAAACUGGGGCUAAUACCGGAUAGGAGCUCCUGCUGCAUGGUGGGGGUUGGAAAGUUUCGGCGGUUGGGGAUGGACUCGCGGCUUAUCAGCUUGUUGGUGGGGUAGUGGCUUACCAAGGCUUUGACGGGUAGCCGGCCUGAGAGGGUGACCGGCCACAUUGGGACUGAGAUACGGCCCAGACUCCUACGGGAGGCAGCAGUGGGGAAUAUUGCACAAUGGGCGGAAGCCUGAAGCAGCGACGCCGCGUGCGGGAUGACGGCCUUCGGGUUGGAAACCGCUUUCGCCUGUGACGAAGCGUGAGUGACGGUAAUGGGUAAAGAAGCACCGGCUAACUACGUG